ACUUUGAAUCAAAAUAGUGAUAUACAUUGCCAACUCGUACUGGCAUUACUCAUUUAAAAUUUACAUUAAGUUCAUCUAUACAUAACAAAAUAAUACUCGACUUCCAGCGGAGGGACUCGGAUGAAUAUAUAGCUACCGAAUGCCGAGACACCUACCAAAAGAUGGACACAGGUCUACAAGGACACCUCGUCCUAAUUAUCGG
rnacentral:lncRNA from 1 species